rnacentral:rRNA from 1 species
AACGAACGCUGGCGGCAUGCCUAACACAUGCAAGUCGAACGAGACCUUCGGGUCUAGUGGCGCACGGGUGCGUAACGCGUGGGAACCUGCCCUUAGGUUCGGAAUAACUCCCCGAAAGGGGUGCUAAUACCGGAUAAUGUCUUCGGACCAAAGAUUUAUCGCCUUUGGAUGGGCCCGCGUUGGAUUAGCUAGUUGGUAGGGUAAAAGCCUACCAAGGCGACGAUCCAUAGCUGGUCUGAGAGGAUGAUCAGCCACACUGGGACUGAGACACGGCCCAGACUCCUACGGGAGGCAGCAGUGGGGAAUAUUGGAGGAUGGGCGAAAGCCUGAUCCAGCAAUGCCGCGUGAGUGAUGAAGGCCUUAGGGUUGUAAAGCUCUUUUACCCGGGAUGAUAAUGACAGUACCGGGAGAAUAAGCGCCGGCUAACUCCGUG